rnacentral:lncRNA from 1 species
UGAAUAUACUACCUCAAAUUGAGGCCCGUGGAUUUCUAAUUGAGCAUCUAUACAAAUUUAUCUAGUGCACUCAAGAUCCAACUUUGUCUGUAUAUUUGAUCUUGAGAAGACUAUCAACAAUUGACUCAGUCAAAGCACAAGAACACACCAAAUAUAUAUGCAUAGACCUCUUAAGUAGUUAAGUCAAAGGACAUACAAACUAAUUGUGCUGAAUACUCUUCUCAACAUCAGUGAUCACUUUCAGAAGGUAUUCAUAUUUGGAUCCCGUUCAA